rnacentral:lncRNA from 1 species
GUUGGAGCCUGAGGGUGAAAGCCUCAUGCUGAGAAGAGUGGAGCGGGAAGAUAAAGCAUGGCAACAUUGAUGACACCCUAGGCCUAAUACACCAGCCCUGACCUGCUUACCUUCUCUCAUUUGUAGGCUAUGUAGUCCAGUCACUUUUACGUGCAGCUGAGUACAACCCUAAAUGAUAUAUCAAUCGCUUCAGUGACCAUUUAUAUGUCAAUAGCUUGCACAUUUAUUAUUUGCAACCAAAGUAUCUCUGGAGGUACUCAUGUGCAUAUACAGUAUUACUGGAAACUUCUACUUGGAUAUCCUCCAGGCAACUCGAAUAUUUUAACAUGGCCAAAGCACAUCUUGUCCUCCAACCUACUCCCCCUGUGAUUUCCUUGUAUCAGUAAUGGCACCAGCGUUCACACAGAUGCAGAAAUGGAGGUUCAGAAAGUCAAAAUGGGGGUCACGUAGCAGUUAUCACCAGUGAUGGGGCAAACGACCUCUAUGCCUCCUGACAUGACACACCGAGAGGAGCACAGCAUCACCUCUGUGAUGUUCCUGCCAAAAGUGCAUACUCUGAAUCUAAUCAAGAAGCAGCACCAGACAAACUCAAUUUGAAGAGCUUCUAUAAAACAAUAAUCUGAAAUCUUUAAAAAAUUAAGGCCAUUAAGGUCAAGGAAGAACUAAGGAAUGGCCCUGGAUUCAAUGAGACUGAAGAAACAUGACAACUGAGAGCAACAUGUGAUCCUGGUUUGGAUCCUCUUGCUAUAAAGGACAUAAAUGGGCAGCUGGUGAAACCUGACUGGGGUCUUUGGGUGAAGGGUAUACAGAAGUUCUCUGUGGUAUUCUUGCAACUUUUAUAUAAGUAUGAAAUUAUUUCAAAAUAAAUAAAAGUAACAACAUUUGUUCAAAAACUUUUAUUUACUAUAAAGACAAAAACACCAAAAUAGGUACAAAUACUAUAAAAUCGGUUCAAUGGGGUAAAAAUUUUAAUUAAAAUAUCUCAAUAUAUUUAAAAUAACAAAGGAUACAUUUAAGCCAAAUUUUCUUAACCCAGAGAUUUUUUUUUUUUUUUUUUGUAACAUUUGCUUACACAGUAAGGUGCUAAUAGAAGUUAGCCCUUAAGCCCUGGAAAUCUUAGGAAUCAUAGUCACACAGCAAAUAUAAUUUCAUUGUGAAAGUGAACUUUGGUAGAAGAAAAAUCUAUAGGACACCUGAGGUAGUAGAAACUGGAAUAAACAGUAGUAGACGUUAUUUACAACUUGAGUACCAAAUAACAUUAAGAACACAAAAAUAAUUACACGAUACAAUUUCCAGUCCAGCUUUGAUCCAAAGAAAAUAAGAAUAUUACAUCACAUUUGCAUUGAAAACAAAACAAAAAACAAAACACCACAAUUACCAGCAAGCUGAGGGAACUGCAAACAAACUCAAACACAAUGGAUUUUGAAAUCUACAGAUAGUUUGAGUUUGAAAUGUGGUGGGCAUGGUGAUCUACAAAGUAAUACUGAUUAGCUGAGGUUCCUCAGUUUAUACAGUUUACAUUUUUGUCAGACACAGUAUUCAUCUGACCAAUGAUCUUCCAGUACAUAAAAUGGCAAGAGUGCAUCCUUUAAAGCUUGCACAUGAGAGACUUGGAAACAAUCUUAUUAGAAUUGUGAAAAUUCUAAGUAGUCAAAAAAAAAAAAAAACAAAAUAAAAAAGAAAG